GUGAGGAAUAUUGGUCAAUGGGCGGGAGCCUGAACCAGCCAAGUCGCGUGAAGGAAGAAGGAUCUAUGGUUCGUAAACUUCUUUUGCAGGGGAAUAAAGUGCAGGACGUGUCCUGUUUUGUAUGUACCCUGAGAAUAAGGAUCGGCUAACUCCGUGCCAGCAGCCGCGGUAAUACGGAGGAUCCGAGCGUUAUCCGGAUUUAUUGGGUUUAAAGGGUGCGUAGGUGGUUUGAUAAGUCAGCGGUGAAAGUUUGCAGCUUAACUGUAAAAAUGCCGUUGAAGCUGUCGGACUUGAGUGUAAAUGAGGUAGGCGGAAUGCGUGGUGUAGCGGUGAAAUGCAUAGAGAUCACGCAGAACUCCGAUUGCGAAGGCAGCUUACUAAGCUACAACUGACACUGAAGCACGAAAGCGUGGGGAUCAAACAGGAUUAGAUACCCGUGUAGUCC
rnacentral:rRNA from 1 species